UUCAGAAUCUCCCAUAAACCCCAACUAAAUGCAUCCCAACUCGAGAUCGCCAUAGUGGGGGCCCAAAAAUGCCGUGGUCUCCCCAGUGGGCCCCGGCAAGAGUGCGAUGAAGGAACAGCCUACCUGGAAAGAGGCAGCGGCCUUAACCGAUCGUUAACAUGAGGUCCGUGGAUUUCGCCGACGUUUGACCACGUGAACCCACUACAGGGCCCUCGAGAGUCGUGGCUGGGAUCCCGGCAAGAGAAGCUGCAUCAGCUCCGCGGCGUUGCAACUGCCCUGGGCGGCUCAGGCCCAGAGGGCGGCUCUCCAGACCUAGGUGUCCUCUGUCCGCGCGGGCAUCUGCCGGUAUCCGCACGGCCCCAUCCAGCCUUUGGUCAGGAGUCCAGGCCUGAAGCCACAAAGACUUCCGGUGCCCCUGUCCUUGUGGCGUGCCCUCCUACAAGGACACGGGUGGUGCAGGUGUCUGUGCCUCCUCCCACUCACCGGCGCACAGCCCCUCCGGGCUCUGGGUGCUUCCAAUUGACUCAGGGUCCAGGGAAGAGUAGCGUUGGGGACAGAGCCGGAGCGGGUGUCACACAACCAGCUUUAGGAGGCCUGACAUAAGGAAGUGGGAUUGUUGGGUCGUAUGGUAUUCCUGUUUUCGAGUCCCACCAUCUUCGGACUUCCCUUGCUUCCAAACGAGAAGUCAGGGGUGGGUACCGUCGUCGGUAACCUCGUCCUCUGCAAGUCAUGUGACAUGUUCUUCACUUUCAAGAUUUUCUCUUGAUUUUUGGAUUUUCCUUUCAAGUGCCCAGCCUUACUGCCAGCUUCAAGGGAGCCCGGCGGCCCUGAGGCCGGAGAACCACGGGAUUCACCGCCCACUGCCCGCCAGGGAGGAAGGGAAAGUCACCCGGAUGCGCUGGCUGGGGAGGAGAUCGGGGGUCCAGCUGUCCUUGCACGGAUUUCCGGCCAGUCCUGCAGCGUGCAGCCCCUGCCCGCAGGCCCGCCUCCGCUGACACCACCUCGUCCUGCGGCCCAGAGGCUAGAUCGUAACAACCCUAGCUAAAAGUUCUGCUGCGUGCUACCAAUUCCGGAUAACGUCAGUGAUAAAAUACCGCUCCAGAUACCUCUUGACUUCAGCACCAGUGGGUAGACUUCGCAUCAGCACACUGAUGGAGACCUAUCUUUGGACACGCGCUGCAUGCGUGCAAAUCAGCUACAACUCUGUUUCUAGGGGGAGCUCCUAAACGUUGGGUGCACCGUGUUUCCAGCCCCGAUGGGAUUUUGUUGUCCCGUGUUUAAAUAGAAAACCAGGGCACAUCGGUACAGCCACUAAUGCGCUUGAGUUAUUUGAGUCCUGUCAUUCCGGGUGGCCACUUGGAGUUUUCAUUUAAUUCACAGUUUUUCAGCAGCAGAGAUGUCCAAAAGCCACUAGGAUUGCUUGCGGUCGAGUCACAAUUUCCAGAAGAUGACCUAAAGUGGGAUUUUUAUGACUCUUUGCC